UCUCAUUAGGUCUUUUAUGGGUUGUAACGUGGCUUAAGGCAUAAGGUGCGAAUUUUUGGUACGAGGCUAAGGUCAUUCUGAACUUCAUUCUGGGCAACAAACUUCCCAGAUUUUUAAGAUCCCUGCCUAUUCUUGCGGGCUUAAGCACAUACUGACCAAGACAUUAACUCUUUUUUUUUAAUUUUCUUUUUUCUUUUUCUUUUGGACUUUUUCUUUAUUUUGGCAUUAGAUGUCCCAUUUUACAAUUUUUGCACUAGUCCUACCCAUAGGAUUCACUACACUAUCUCCCUUUCAUUUGCCCUCAAGUUCAGUUUGACCGGGACGGCUCAAAUCUAGGCAAAUUUAUAAGUUAAUUCAAAUGAAUUAUUAAGCUCAAAAGGGCUCACAAGUGAUAGAUGUAGGGUUGGUCAGUUUGGCUUUGUGGGCUAAAGAAAGAAGUGC
rnacentral:lncRNA from 1 species